GGCUUGUUUCGAGUUGCCUGCG
rnacentral:miRNA from 17 species